AGAGCUGCGUGUCUGUGCCAUUCUUUCACCUCUCCUCACUAUUUCCCCUGUUUAAGGUAACUGCCAUGCACAUAUCUGUAUAAAUGUGUGUUACUGUUGUUUAUUACGUUAUCAUUGUUCAUUGUAGCGAAAGAUGUGAAUUGCAGACUAUUUUGCUGAGAAGUUCCAGUUAAACGCUGUUGCUGUCUAUGCUAGUUUUCACUAUUACUCCGCCAUAUUGUGUGAAGAUUUUUCUGUUACUAUCUGUAUAAGUUAACUACUGAAAGACAUGUAGUACUUAAAGUAUUAUUUCAUUGCUGUGGAAAGUUAGUGACUGUGUCAGCUAACAUGUGCGAGUUAAAAAGAUGUUUUUGUCUAAUGCUACAGUUCAUGUUAUCUAAAGUAUUCUCAUCAGCUAAUGCAGCGAACAAUAGUGACUUAGUUUGGAUACAGUUGUCCUGAGAUUGAGUGCAUCCAUAAGAAUAUUGUUUUGGUUGUAUUGCUCCUUUACUCAAUACAGACGAGUGAGAGUGAGAGCUGCGUGUCUGUGCCAUUCUUUCACCUCUCCUCACUAUUUCCCCUGUUUAAGGGCACAACACUGCCACUCUGAGCUGUCCCACCUGCGACUGAUUCCUCGCCAGCUGCUGCCAAUCAUCCACCAUCGUUGGCAGAGCUAUUUAAUGGUGUGGCUGAGUGACAGACAGCGCUGGAGUAUUCCACCAAGCCUGGAAAUGAACGAGACAGAGAGACGUCACUAUUCACGAGAGUUGUGUGGACACACGAGGUGAGCACUGAAGUGACUUUGCACUGUGGAUAACUGUGGAUUGGCUUCACUGUAAAUAAAGACACUGUUCAACUUUAA